rnacentral:rRNA from 1 species
UACGGAGGGUGCAAGCGUUAUCCGGAUUUACUGGGUUUAAAGGGAGCGCAGGCGGAUUGGUAAGUCAGUGGUGAAAGCCUUAAGCUUCACUUGGGAACUGCCAUUGAUACUAUCAGUCUUGAAUAUUGUUGAGGUUUGCGGAAUGGGUCACGUAGCGGUGAAAUGCAUAGAUAUGACCCGGAACACCGAGUGCGAAGGCAGCAGGCUAAACAAAGAUUGACGCUGAGGCUCGAAAGCGUGGGGAUCAAACAGG